rnacentral:lncRNA from 1 species
UUUCAAACGAAAAAAAAACCAAUCAAAAUCUUAAAACUUUGAUUUUUCCCGGUUUUAGCUGUUGUUUUUAUGAUGUUUUUCAGUAUAAUAAUGAUAAUAUAUAAACAAAUUGAUUGCAGAUAAAUGUCUUACUAUCUUUUAAUAAUUCAUUCAUUAAGGUUCUGCAUUCUAGAGAAAAAAAAAUCAGCAUCAGUUAAAAAAAACACUGAAUUUUAGAGUUUUCCCAAUUUUCCGCAGUUUUACUUUCAAAAUCUCAUUUUUUACCCCAAAAUGACCCUUUUCCGCAAAAUAUAUUUUUGUAUAUUUUUACUAUGUGAUGUAUAUGUAUAUAAACUUUGGUUUUUACCAUUAAAAUCUUUUGUUGCAAUUAGUUUGAGGUUGACCCUUAUUUAGAACAGAUU